UAACACAUGCAAGUCGAGCGGAUGAAGGGAGCUUGCUCUCUGAUUCAGCGGCGGACGGGUGAGUAAUGCCUAGGAAUCUGCCUGGUAGUGGGGGACAACGUCUCGAAAGGGACGCUAAUACCGCAUACGUCCUACGGGAGAAAGUGGGGGAUCUUCGGACCUCACGCUAUCAGAUGAGCCUAGGUCGGAUUAGCUAGUUGGUGAGGUAAAGGCUCACCAAGGCGACGAUCCGUAACUGGUCUGAGAGGAUGAUCAGUCACACUGGAACUGAGACACGGUCCAGACUCCUACGGGAGGCAGCAGUGGGGAAUAUUGGACAAUGGGCGAAAGCCUGAUCCAGCCAUGCCGCGUGUGUGAAGAAGGUCUUCGGAUUGUAAAGCACUUUAAGUUGGGAGGAAGGGUUGCUGAUUAAUACUCUGCAAUUUUGACGUUACCGACAGAAUAAGCACCGGCUAACUCUGUGCCAGCAGCCGCGGUAAUACAGAGGGUGCAAGCGUUAAU
rnacentral:rRNA from 1 species